UGACAUGCGCGUUGCAUUGAAUUGGGUCUAGACAGAAAUUUCGCUGGGUUUUGGAAUCAGUGCGCCGCCCGCCGUCAACCGAGCAAGACGGCUUGGUACUGUAUCCGCUAUCCACAGGGCAUUGCUGCCCUUGAUACCGCAACACUGGGGAAUCUUGGAGACUUUUGACGACCGAGAACGUCACACUCCCGCAGUCUCCGGGCGCUGCGGCCUGUCAGGGCUGUGGCGCCGGCCGUCCUAACAUCUGUGACGGAGAUUCCCAGUGAGCGAGGAGUAGAACCACCUCGCAUAUGCAGCGGAUGCAACACCAGUCUGCCUUAUCAUGGUCCCAGUUACAACGCGCACUCAACAACACCUCCAGCACCAUGGCUUCAUGAACACGCUUGCACGUGGACAGGAAGCUAUGGAGCCGACCCCCACUGACAUUGGGGCAUCUGGGCACCAUGAUGGAUGACAACGGAAGAGGCGGGGACCCAAGGCGGGGGGAUCUCAGGACCAAGGUUUCCACUCGAAAGAGUUUGGUCCUUUGAUCUCCUCCUUUAACCCCUUGGGUCCGCGCCUCAAAAGUGUCUGUGAUUGCAUUGAUGUUGAUCUGAAGUCAAGGCAAUUGUGGGCUCUAUAAUGGGCAGGGGAAAGACCCUAAAAAGUCGAUCCGUUGUCCAGAACCCACUCGGGACUCGAACCCCUUCGAGUUUGGAGUGGAUUCCUCAUAAUACCAUCUUUGGGAUAUUCUCUCAUCGUUGGUAUUCAAACUUAUUAAUUUACGAAAACGUGGUAUUGCUGUAAGGAUUAGUUUAUAAGUAGGUAUAAGUAAAAAAAAAAACUAAAUAUAAGUAAAAAAA